AUUGAACGCUGGCGGCAGGCCUAACACAUGCAAGUCGGACGGUAGCACAGAGGAGCUUGCUCCUCGGGUGACGAGUGGCGGACGGGUGAGUAAUGUCUGGGGAUCUGCCCGAUAGAGGGGGAUAACCACUGGAAACGGUGGCUAAUACCGCAUAACGUCGCAAGACCAAAGAGGGGGACCUUCGGGCCUCUCACUAUCGGAUGAACCCAGAUGGGAUUAGCUAGUAGGCGGGGUAACGGCCCACCUAGGCGACGAUCCCUAGCUGGUCUGAGAGGAUGACCAGCCACACUGGAACUGAGACACGGUCCAGACUCCUACGGGAGGCAGCAGUGGGGGAUAUUGCACAAUGGGCACAAGCCUGAUGCAGCCAUGCCGCGUGUAUGAAGAAGGCCUUCGGGUUGUAAAGUACUUUCAGCGGGGAGGAAGGCGAUGUGGUUAAUAACCGCAUUGAUUGACGUUACCCGCAGAAGAAGCACCGGCUAACUCCGUGCCAGCCGCCGCGGUAA
rnacentral:rRNA from 1 species